GACGAACGCUGGCGGCGUGCCUAAUACAUGCAAGUUGAGCGCUGAAGGUUGGUACUUGUACCGACUGGAUGAGCAGCGAACGGGUGAGUAACGCGUGGGGAAUCUGCCUUUGAGCGGGGGACAACAUUUGGAAACGAAUGCUAAUACCGCAUAAAAACUUUAAACACAAGUUUUAAGUUUGAAAGAUGCAAUUGCAUCACUCAAAGAUGAUCCCGCGUUGUAUUAGCUAGUUGGUGAGGUAAAGGCUCACCAAGGCGAUGAUACAUAGCCGACCUGAGAGGGUGGUCGGCCACAAUGGGACUGGGACACGGCCCAAACUCCUACGGGAGGCAGCAGUAGGGAAUCUUCGGCAAUGGACGAAAGUCUGACCGAGCAACGCCGCGUGAGUGAAGAAGGGUUUCGGAUCGUAAAACUCUGUUGGUAGAGAAGAACGUUGGUGAGAGUGGAAAGCUCAUCAAGUGACGGUAACUACCCAGAAAGGGACGGCUAACUACGUG
rnacentral:rRNA from 1 species